CGGACGGGUGAGUAAUGUCUGGGAAACUGCCCGAUGGAGGGGGAUAACUACUGGAAACGGUAGCUAAUACCGCAUAACGUCGCAAGACCAAAGAGGGGACCUUCGGGCCUCUUGCCAUCGGAUGUGCCCAGAUGGGAUUAGCUAGUAGGUGGGGUAACGGCUCACUUAGGCGACGAUCCCUAGCUGGUCUGAGAGGAUGACCAGCCACACUGGAACUGAGACACGGUCCAG
rnacentral:rRNA from 1 species